rnacentral:rRNA from 1 species
UACGUAGGGCGCGAGCGUUGUCCGGAAUUACUGGGCGUAAAGCGCACGCAGGUGGCUGAGUCAGUCGAUUGUGAAAGCCCUGGGCUUAACCUGGGAAUUGCAGUCGAUACUACUCAGCUAGAGUAUGGGAGAGGGUAGUGGAAUUCCCGGUGUAGCGGUGAAAUGCGUAGAUAUCGGGAGGAACAUCAGUGGCGAAGGCGGCUACCUGGCCAAUACUGACACUCAGGUGCGACAGCGUGGGAGCAACAGGAUUAGAUAC